GGAGAGUCAGUCAGGGAGAGUCAGGCAGGGAGAGUCAGGCAGGGAGAGUCAGGCAGGGAGAGUCAGGCAGGGAGAGUCAGGCAGGGAGAGUCAGUCAGGGAGAGUCUCGUCCAUGGUGGACAGGCAGGGAGAGUCAGGCAGGGAGAGUCAGUCAGGGAGAGUCUCAUCCAUGGUGGACAGACAGGGAGAGUCUCGUCCAUGGUGGACAGGCACGGAGAGUCUCGUCCAUGGUGGACAGGCAGGGAGUCUCGUCCAUGGUGGACAGGCAGGGAGUCUCGUCCAUGGUGGACAGGCAGGGAGAGUCAGGCAGGGAGAGUCUCGUCCAUGGUGGACAGGCAGGGAGAGUCUCGUCCAUGGUGGACAGGCAGGGGAAGUCUCGUCCAUGGUGGUCAGGCAGGGAGAUUCAGGCAGGGAGAGUCUCGUCCAUGGUGGACAGGCAGGGGAGUCUCGUCCAUGGUGGUCAGGUAGGGAGAGUCUCGUCCAUGGUGGUCAGGCAGGGAGAUUCAGGCAGGGAGAGUCUCGUCCAUGGUGGACAGGCAGGGAGAGUCUCGUCCAUGGUGGACAGGCAGGGAGAGUCUCGUACAUGGUGGACAGGCAGGGAGAGUCUCGUACAUGGUGGACAGGCAGGGAGAGUCUCGUCCAUGGUGGACAGGCAGGGAGAGUCUCGUCCAUGGUGGACAGGCAGGGAGAGUCUCGUCCAUGGUGGACAGGCAGGGAGAGUCUCGUCCAUGGUGGACAGGCAGGGAGAGUCUCGUACAUGGUGGACAGGCAGGGAGAGUCUCGUACAUGGUGGACAGGCAGGGAGAGUCUCGUACAUGGUGGA
ensembl:lncRNA